rnacentral:rRNA from 1 species
AGACCCGAAACCCGGUGAUCUAGCCAUGGGCAGGUUGAAGGUUGGGUAACACUAACUGGAGGACCGAACCGACUAAUGUUGAAAAAUUAGCGGAUGACCUGUGGCUGGGGGUGAAAGGCCAAUCAAACCGGGAGAUAGCUGGUUCUCCCCGAAAGCUAUUUAGGUAGCGCCUCGUGAAUUCAUCUCCGGGGGUAGAGCACUGUUUCGGCUAGGGGGCCAUCCCGGCUUACCAACCCGAUGCAAACUGCGAAUACCGGAGAAUGUUAUCACGGGAGACACACGGCGGGUGCUAACGUCCGUCGUGAAGAGGGAAACAACCCAGACCGCCAGCUAAGGUCCCAAAGUCAUGGUUAAGUGGGAAACGAUGUGGGAAGGCCCAGACAGCCAGGAUGUUGGCUUAGAAGCAGCCAUCAUUUAAAGAAAGCGUAAUAGCUCACUGGUCGAGUCGGCCUGCGCGGAAGAUGUAACGGGGCUAAACCAUGCACCGAAGCUGCGGCAGCGACACUGUGUGUUGUUGGGUAGGGGAGCGUUCUGUAAGCCUGUGAAGGUGUGUCGUGAGGCAUGCUGGAGGUAUCAGAAGUGCGAAUGCUGACAUAAGUAACGAUAAAGCGGGUGAAAAGCCCGCUCGCCGGAAGACCAAGGGUUCCUGUCCAACGUUAAUCGGGGCAGGGUGAGUCGACCCCUAAGGCGAGGCCGAAAGGCGUAGUCGAUGGGAAACGGGUUAAUAUUCCCGUACUUGGUGUUACUGCGAAGGGGGGACGGAGAAGGCUAUGUUGGCCGGGCGACGGUUGUCCCGGUUUAAGCGUGUAGGUGUGUGUUCCAGGUAAAUCCGGUUCACUUUAACACUGAGGCGUGACGACGAGGCACUACGGUGCUGAAGCAACAAAUGCCCUGCUUCCAGGAAAAGCCUCUAAGCAUCAGGUAACAUCAAAUCGUACCCCAAACCGACACAGGUGGUCAGGUAGAGAAUACCAAGGCGCUUGAGAGAACUCGGGUGAAGGAACUAGGCAAAAUGGUGCCGUAACUUCGGGAGAAGGCACGCUGACACGUAGGUGAAGUGAUUUACUCAUGGAGCUGAAGUCAGUCGAAGAUACCAGCUGGCUGCAACUGUUUAUUAAAAACACAGCACUGUGCAAACACGAAAGUGGACGUAUACGGUGUGACGCCUGCCCGGUGCCGGAAGGUUAAUUGAUGGGGUCAGCGCAAGCGAAGCUCCUGAUCGAAGCCCCGGUAAACGGCGGCCGUAACUAUAACGGUCCUAAGGUAGCGAAAUUCCUUGUCGGGUAAGUUCCGACCUGCACGAAUGGCGUAAUGAUGGCCAGGCUGUCUCCACCCGAGACUCAGUGAAAUUGAACUCGCUGUGAAGAUGCAGUGUACCCGCGGCAAGACGGAAAGACCCCGUGAACCUUUACUAUAGCUUGACACUGAACAUUGAGCCUUGAUGUGUAGGAUAGGUGGGAGGCUUUGAAGUGUGGACGCCAGUCUGCAUGGAGCCGACCUUGAAAUACCACCCUUUAAUGUUUGAUGUUCUAACGUGGACCCGUUACCCGGGUUGCGGACAGUGUCUGGUGGGUAGUUUGACUGGGGCGGUCUCCUCCUAAAGAGUAACGGAGGAGCACGAAGGUUGGCUAAUCCUGGUCGGACAUCAGGAGGUUAGUGCAAUGGCAUAAGCCAGCUUGACUGCGAGCGUGACGGCGCGAGCAGGUGCGAAAGCAGGUCAUAGUGAUCCGGUGGUUCUGAAUGGAAGGGCCAUCGCUCAACGGAUAAAAGGUACUCCGGGGAUAACAGGCUGAUACCGCCCAAGAGUUCAUAUCGACGGCGGUGUUUGGCACCUCGAUGUCGGCUCAUCACAUCCUGGGGCUGAAGUAGGUCCCAAGGGUAUGGCUGUUCGCCAUUUAAAGUGGUACGCGAGCUGGGUUUAGAACGUCGUGAGACAGUUCGGUCCCUAUCUGCCGUGGGCGCUGGAGAACUGAGGGGGGCUGCUCCUAGUACGAGAGG